rnacentral:rRNA from 1 species
AUUGAACGCUGGCGGCAGGCCUAACACAUGCAAGUCGAGCGAGCGGCGGACGGGUGAGUAAUGUAUGGGGACUGCCCGAUAGAGGGGGAUAACUACGGGAAACGGUGGCUAAUACCGCAUACUAUCGGAUAACCCAUAUGGGAUUAGCUAGUCGGUGGGGUAAAGGCGCACCUAGGCGACGAUCUCUAGCUGGUCUGAGAGGAUGAUCAGCCACACGGGGACGUAGACACGGCCCAGAUUCCUACGGAGGCAGCAGUGGGGAAUAUUUCACAAGGGGCGCAAUCCUGAUGCAGCCAGGCCGCGUGUAUGAAGAAGGCCUUAGGGUUGUAAAGUACUUUCAGCGGGGAGGCGUUACCCGCAGAAGAAGCACCGGCUAACUCCGUGCCAGCAGCCGCGGUAAUUC